UAACAUGCAUCAUUAAAUAGAGCGACCUAGGUUAUAGUUCUAGGGUAAAAUAGGGCAGCGGCCUAUUUAACUACUCCCUCCGUCCUUCAAUACUUGACCUACUUAACCAUUUCACACAGACGGAGUGAGUAGCAUUAAUUGAAAAAUGGUGACCGCAUGCAUGAAGAGUAAUGUUGCACAGGGCUCAACAAUUGGAUUGAAUAGUCUCCACUUUUCAUUUUAUAUUUUCUUUACCUUUUGUCCUCUCCAUUUCAUACGCAUCUUUCUCCCUCCUCCUACUUUCAACCAAGAUAUCAUCUUCCAUUCUUUCUCUUAUAAAGAACCAAACCCUUAGUUCAACUUCAACAACCACCGAUUUAACAAGAGGCGAGAUUGCUGGAUUGUUCACUUCCUGAAAUUAAACUUUUCAUCCAAUUUGUUCAUCAGUUCAUCCAGUCCAACACACAGCACCAUCCUGAGACAAAUCUUCAACAUUCAAAAACUCGUCAAAGGUACAUGAGAAAUUAUGACCAUCCUAUCCUAUUAAAGUGUUAAUUAUGUUGGAGUGUUUUGAAUGUUGAGAUUUAGAUCGAGAUGCCCAUCUAUGCGAACGUCUCUACUUAUUAGGGAUAUGUUGGGGAAUGGAUGCACCCUUAUGGACCAACCAAAGAAAGAAUUGUAUCAAAUGUAAGUAGCACCGACAAGCUUGGUCAGUUAUUAUGAAAGAUGUCGAAAUCGUCCAUCUCCCAAGGGAAGCUAACUUAGAGGCGGAUUGUGUAGAAAACGAAGGAUCGUCAACGUCAGGAAGGUCGCUGGUGGGGUUUCUGAACUAAUUUUGAUUGAAAUGUGCAGGUUUGUUGGUGGUGUUAUGUCUGUAGCUGUAAUGUGAUUCUAUCUUGCGAAGUCUUGCAUGUGAUUUUUGUCAUACAUUGCCGUGUGCCAAGCUGUUUGAAAAAAGCCUGAUUUUAUGAGGCUUUGGAGUGUCUCAUCUGUCUGGUCUUAUCUUUGGUUCCUGGGAUUGUUUUAGCCUGUUAGCAGAAUGUUUUUUCUGUGUUUUUAGGUGUUGUGUGGAGUUAUGGUGUGCCUUUCCUGUAGUUUCUAAUGCUUUACUUUCACAGAUAUUUUUGGUAGAAAUCUUUGUAGCCUGUACUUUGUAAGCCUUUCCUGUAGUUUCCAAUAUAUUUGAUGCAUUGCUUUGAUUAUUGGUGAAAAUGUGAAAUGUAUCAUAAGAUAUAAAUAGCCUAUAAUUUCUUAUGAUUUCAA